AUACGUAGGGUGCAAGCGUUAAUCGGAAUUACUGGGCGUAAAGCGUGCGCAGGCGGUUUUGUAAGACAGUGGUGAAAUCCCCGGGCUCAACCUGGGAACUGCCAUUGUGACUGCAAGGCUGGGGUGCGGCAGAGGGGGAUGGCAUUCCGCGUGUAGCAGUGAAAUGCGUAGAUAUGCGGAGGAACACCGAUGGCGAAGGCAAUCCCCUGGGCCUGCACUGACGCUCAUGCACGAAAGCGUGGGGAGCAAACAGGAUUAGAUACCCUGGUAGUCCACGCCCUAAACGAUGUCAACUGGUUGUUGGGGAUUUAUUUUCUCAGUAACGAAGCUAACGCGUGAAGUUGACCGCCUGGGGAGUACGGCCGCAAGGUUAAAACUUAAAGGAAUUGACGGGG
rnacentral:rRNA from 1 species